rnacentral:lncRNA from 1 species
CGAUCCCUAUUUGCUCAUAUACUACAAUUGUCAUCCAUAGGGUUUAAUUUGUGUGUCAAGUUAAUUCUCACAUCAACUUGAUAGAGUGCUUCAAAGUUCAAUUAUCAAACCUAAAAUGCUCACCCCACCCACAAGGUUUCCCCACUUAUACUCACUUCACCUAUCAACUAAUAAACUCUUAACUAUAUUUUCCAUAUUUAUCUAUGUUAUGCAUUUCCCUUGAUUUAUUUAUUUAUGAGUUUAUGAUAAUUUCUAAUAAUGUGGAUGGUAAUAGAAACACUGUUUUAUAUUAUUUUUUGUUCUUUUAUAAUACAACUCCUCUUGGGGCUUUGUUUUAUUGUUUUUAGUUGUAUUAUUUAAAUCGUCUUAUAUGUACUACUUCUAAUUGAACCACUACAUUGUUAAUUAUUUUUGUAAUUAUGGAGUUAGAUUAAUGUUGAAUUAAUAGUUCAUAUAAUUUGUCAACAUAUUUGUGUCCAAAACAACUAAAAUGGCCUAGAAAAACCCCAAACCAACUUAAUUUGCGAAAAAAAGGGCUCGUACAGUAGCAACUAUACAGUGUCCAUCUUCAACAUUGAUUAGUGAUUCAAAGAGAUUGAUGGCCGAAAAAGAAACUUACGCAUGACAUAAUGAAUAUUCUUGUGUGUUUAUGUUUCUCUUCACAUAAUGCAGACGAGUAUAUUUACUCCAUUACAUGUAACUUUUAGAUUAAUUAUUGUUGGCAAGUAAUUCACAUGUAUGUCUUCUCAUAGAGAGAAAAAAAAAUCAUCCUUUCAAAUUAUGGAGGUAGGGCCUCCUAAGACAUAAUGCAAAUAUUAAUGUGUGUCACCAAACAAGGAACUUCUUUAAUUGAAACUGUUACGUUUUUUUUUUCUAAUCAAGUCCAAAAUGUAUUUAAUUGUAAAAGAAAUGCUGAGAAGAUUCUUUUAAAAGUAGAAUUCUUCCUGAACUUUCUCAUCUUGUAACAUCCCACAUCGUCCAUGGUGGUGGAUCAUGUAAGCUUUAUAUGUAUAUUCUCAUCUCUACCUAGCACAUGACCUUUUAGGAACUCACUGG